CCUACGGGGCGCUGCAGUGGGGAAUAUUGGACAAUGGGCGAAAGCCUGAUCCAGCCAUGCCGCGUGUGUGAAGAAGGCCUUCGGGUUGUAAAGCACUUUCAGUGGGGAAGAAAGCCUUGGGGCUAAUACCCUCGAGGAAGGACAUCACCCACAGAAGAAGCACCGGCUAACUCCGUGCCAGCAGCCGCGGUAAUACGGAGGGUGCGAGCGUUAAUCGGAAUUACUGGGCGUAAAGCGCGCGUAGGCGGUCUGAUAAGCCGGUUGUGAAAGCCCCGGGCUCAACCUGGGAACGGCAUCCGGAACUGUCAGGCUAGAGUGCAGGAGAGGAAGGUAGAAUUCCCGGUGUAGCGGUGAAAUGCGUAGAGAUCGGGAGGAAUACCAGUGGCGAAGGCGGCCUUCUGGACUGACACUGACGCUGAGGUGCGAAAGCGUGGGUAGCAAACAGGAUUAGAUACCCCAGUAGU
rnacentral:rRNA from 1 species